rnacentral:tRNA from 1 species
AUUUACAUAAUAUAAAAUAAUUAUAUUUGACUUCCAAUCAAAAAAUCUAGAUUUAGUGUAAAUA